rnacentral:rRNA from 1 species
UACAGAGGUCUCAAGCGUUUGUUCGGAUUCAUUGGGCGUAAAGGGUGUGUAGGUGGCGCGCUAAGUCGGGUGUGAAAUCUCGGAGCUUAACUCCGAAACUGCAUUCGAUACUGCCGUGCUUGAGGACUGGAGAGGAGACUGGAAUUUACGGUGUAGCGGUGAAAUGCGUAGAUAUCGUAAGGAAGACCAGUGGCGAAGGCGGGUCUCUGGACAGUUCCUGACGCUGAGGCACGAAGGCCAGGGGAGCAAACGGG